ACAACAGGAGAAACAAUUUAUGUUGAUGGCUCUUCAAAAAAAAAAAAAUGAACUAGGAAAAACACAAACAGGUUAUGCUGUAGUGACCAAAGAUAAGAUAUUAAAAGCGGAACAAUUACCCUCACACUGCUCUGCCCAAGCUGCAGAGAUAGUGGCUCUAACAGAGGCAUGUAAAUGAAUGAAGAAUAAAGACGCUACUAUCUAUACAGAUAGCCAGUAUGCCUUUGCUACAGUCCAUACUUUUGCACAGUAUUGGCAAAAUAGAGGAAUGAUCACAUCCACAGAGAAACCAGUAACACAUGCAAACAUCCUAUCUAACCUACUCAAGGCAGUAAAGUUACCAAAACACCUCGCAGUUUGUAAAUGUGCAGCUCAUACCUCAGGGACAGAUCAAGCAUCACUAGGGAAUGCAUUUGCAGACAAAACAGCUAAACAAGCAGCCGAGGGACAGAUAAAAGUGCUUAUGCUGACCUCGGACACUGAUAUGACUGAUACAACACUCCAAGACAUGCAACAACAAGCACCACAGAAAGAAAAAGACUUAAAACACGGAGCACAACUACAGAAUGACAUCUAUGUAUGACCAGAGAAAAAACCAAUCCUUCCACACAACCUGUACAAAUGGGCUGCAAUAUUGAGCCAUGGUGUUACACAUGUCUCAACAGGAGGGAUGGUAUGGAUUUAACUCCUAUUCAAAACAUUUUUAUAGAGCAUGUUUGACCUGUGCUAAGCACAAUCCUCAGGGAAACUUAAGACCUAGGAGAGGGCGUUUCCCUUCACCACAGUAUCCGUUUCAAGCAAUACAUAUGGAUUUUAUAGAGUUAAAUCAGAGUGAAGGGAAAAAGUAUUGUCUGGUCAUAAUAGAUGCCUUCUCUAAAUGGGUAGAGCUGUUUCCAACCAAACACCCAGACGCAGUAACAGCGGCAAGAGCGUUAUGUAAAGACAUAAUACCCCGUUAUGGCACUCCGGAAAAACUUUACAGUGAUAAAGGAGCACAUUUUGUAAACCAAUCGAUCAAGAAGAUAGGAAUAAUGUUUCACAUCAAUCUAAAAAACCACUGCGCAUAUCAUCCUCAAAGUGCAGGAUUAGUGGAACGCAUGAAUGGCACUAUAAAAAACGGUUAAAGAAAUGCAUUGAAGAAACAAGGAGACCUUGGACUCAGUGCAUAGAUUUAGUGAAAAUGUAUAUAAAUAUCACAGCAACUUCAGGCUUAACUCCAUAUGAAACGCUGUUUGGUAGACCAUACAGGCUGCCGCAGUUUAAAAAUCAAUGGGAGCUGAGUGAAGAAACCAACCUAGCAGACUAUAUGAGAAAAAUGUUAGAAAAACAAAAAGGAAAACAAGCUGAUGAACAUCCUUCUGUUUCUCAACAGGAGAUCCAGUUAGUGGGACCAGGCGAUUGGGUGCUGAUACGAAGCAUUAAGAGAAAACAUUGGCACUCUCUCAAGUGGGAAGGGCCUUAUCAGGUAUUGUUGAACACUCCCACAGCCAUAAAAAUAGCUGAAAGAUCCACGUGGGUACAUCUUACUCACUGCAAAAAGGUCAUCUCCUCCGACAGUUCCACAUAGAAAGGUGACUCACAGUCUGAUGAUAGGGUGGACUCAGGUGUGUAGAACCUGAGGCCACCUGAAAGUCAGUGAAGUAUUUCCAAGACACCAGACUCAUUAGAGGACACUCUCGGGGAAGAUGGCGACUAGAUGGAUAAGCGAUGCCAUUAGGUGCUGGGGAGUGACAAUCGUAUUCAUAUUAAUUUUUCUUUUUACUUGGUACUCAUGGGAAGCUCCUGGGACUUCCCUAAAUAGCACUCAUGUUCCGCCCACUUCAUCCCAAGGUGUCACCCAACCACAUGCUAGAGUAAAACGCAGAGUAGGCUAUUACCACACAAAUGACCAGUACAAUGCCCAGCGAGUGGAGGCAGAAACGCUCCUCAUCCUGGCGCUCUAAUAUCGACCCUACGUAAAACGUAGACCGAAUCAAUUACAUCCAUUACAACGUACAGAAAUUGGGCAACUGGACACAGAGUGGGUUUGAGGCUGUUCAUGGACGGCUUUCCUCCACAUCACUGAUGCCAUUCCAGACCCGCAUAGCUCUUGACAUGCUGCUUGCAGAGAAAGGAGGUGUGUGUGCUAUGUUCAGAGAGCAAUGCUGCACCUUCAUUCCUAACAACACUGCAGCGGAUGGCAGUCUCACCAAGGCCAUAGACGGGUUGAAAACUGGACCGCUUUACCCAGAUGUAUCCGCUCCUGCAACAAAACCGAGAUAACGAUGAAGACACAGAUGAAGAAUCAGACCAUUGGCCUGAUUUGUUCCCUGAUCCAGGUGACUAUGAGUCGCCCUGUAAGUAACCUAACACACACUCUGAGUGUAAACAUUUGGACAGACUCAUAAAAAUGAUCUUGCAGUUGAAAAUCUAGCGAAGAGACUGAUUGAGUGAUAUGAGAAUUUGAGAACAAAAUGUGAUAAACAGGAGGGAAAUGUUAGAAUAAAGAUGUACAUAAGUUAUCCCAUUUAUGUUUUGUUCUUAGUAGCCUUUAAAGUGCACAGCAAUGCUGUGUGUGUAUAUGUGUGUUAUUAAACUUGUGUCUGUGAGAUUAACAGGAAUGCACCCUGCCAUCCUAUGACCGGCAGGGCAGGCUGACACCGAA